rnacentral:tRNA from 1 species
GCAUUAGUGGGGUAGUGGUAACCUGGGUCGUUGCCAUACGCGCUAUCUCGACCCGCCCGGAGUUCGAUUCUCCGUUAAUGCA